CCGCCCUAGUUCUAACCGUAAACGAUGCCAGCUAGCGAUCCGGCUGUGUUCCUCAAAUGACACGCCGGGCAGCUUCCGGGAAACCAAAGCUUUUGGGUUCCGGGGGAAGUAUGGUUGCAAAGCUGAAACUUAAAGGAAUUGACGGAAGGGCACCACCAGGCAUGGAGCCUGCGGCUUAAUUUGACUCAACACGGGAAAACUUACCCGGCCCGGACACAGGAAGGAUUGACAGAUUAAGAGCUCUUUCUUGAUUCUGUGGGUGGUGGUGCAUGGCCGUUCUUAGUUGGUGGAGCGAUUUGUCUGGUCAAUUCCGAUAACGAACGAGACUCUAGCCUAUUAAAUAGGCGUUCCGAUCCUUCGGGGUCGGACACGACUUCUUCUUAGAGGGACAAGCGGCUUCUAGCCGCACGAGACAGAGCAAUAACAGGUCUGUGAUGCCCUUAGAUGUCCGGGGCCGCACGCGCGCUACAUUGAAGGAAUCAGCGUGUGCUUUCCCUGUCCGACAGGACUGGGUAACCCGUUGAACCUCCGUUCGUGCUGGGGAUAGGGGCUUGUAAUUGUUCCCCUUGAACGAGGAAUGCCCAGUAAGCACGAGUCAUAAGCUCGUGUUGAUUAAGUCCCUGCCCUUUGUACACACCGCCCGUCGCUACUACCGAUUGAAUGCUUUAGUGAGGUCUUCGGACUGGCGCCCGGAUUGGUCUUCGGAUCGAGCCGGCGGUGCCGGAA
rnacentral:rRNA from 1 species